UGGGUGACCUGCCCUCAGCUCUGGGAUAAGCCUGGGAAACUGGGUCUAAUACUGGAUAUUCACUUCUCAUCGCAUGGUGGGUGGUGGUAAAGUUUUUUCGGCUGGGGAUGGGCCCGCGGCCUAUCAGCUUGUUGGUGAGGUAAUAGCUUACCAAGGCGAUGGACGGGUAGCCGGCCUGAGGAGGGUCGACCGGCCACACGUGGGACUGAGACCACCGGCCCAGACCUCCGUACGGGA
rnacentral:rRNA from 1 species